rnacentral:rRNA from 1 species
GACAGGGGGCCCGAGCGUUAAUCGGAAUCACUGGGCUUAAAGGGUGCGUAGGCGGACCCGUGAGUGCUUCGUGAAAACCCACGGCUCAACCGUGGAAUUGCGGUGCAUACUGCGGGUCUUGAGGGAAGUAUGGGCGGACAGAACUAUCGGUGGAGCGGUGAAAUGCGUAGAUAUCGAGAGGAAUGCCGAUGGCGAAGGCGGUCCGCUGGGCUUCUCCUGACGCUCAGGCACGAAAGCGUGGGGAGCAAACAGG